UUCUUCUGCUCUUGCAGAUCGGGAUCACCCUGCAGCCUGUGGCACUGCACAGGAACAUGUAUGCCUCAGUCGUAGAGGACAUGAUCUUAAAGGCCACGGAGCAGCUGGUGAGUGACAUCCUGAGACAGGCACUGGCGGUUGGAUACCAGACAGCAUCUCCCAACAGGAUUCCCAAAGAAAUCACAGUGAGUAAUAUUCAUCAGGCCGUUUGCAACAUUCCUUUUCUGGAUUUUCUCACGAACAAACACAUGG